UUCUCUUCUAGAUCCUGCAAAAGGAACAAUGACCUUCACUGCAUAGAGCUCUGCUAGGCUGCUUCACUGGGUCCUCAGACAGAUCAUCUGCAAACAAUGAGAAAGUCCAAGCACCUGUUUAAUGCUGAAUGGAAACAGCAGCAGAAAGACACAGAAGCAAGGUACCGAUGUCUGAUGGAAGGCUCCUGAGGAGGAGGGAAUGAGAACAUAACAGAGGUGGAAACCUGCCUAUAUACAAGGGAUGUUUUGUUCCUCACAAAGAUCGACACCUCUUGGAGUCAGCCCAGCUGCGCAGCUUCUGAUGCAGAUCUUCUCAUCCCAGAUGUCUUGCCUCAGGGCCCUGCAGACCCAGGAGCCUGUUGGCCUUGGAUUAAUUCAUACACAAUCUCAACAUUCCUCCCAGAGCAGGAGGUGGGUUAGGCCAUGAGGAGCACCCAUGGCUGAUUGAGCUCUGGGUCUCACACAACUAAAAUCACAGUGAAUCCCACUGAAGAAACACUGAUAUAAUGGAAACUUAGUGGAUGAAAGUGUCACUGACCAUGCGACAACUACGAUGGAGACCAUGGGUGACUCAGGAACCACAGGCAUAUGAGAUUCUGCUCAUAGCCUUCAGAAAGUAAUUACAGCACCGAGUAAGAUACACAGGUCUUGGCAGUGACCAGGAAGAGAGCAGGCUCCUCCUGUCCAUCUUCACCGGAUCUACCUGAAUACAAGGGAAUCAGGAACUGCCUUGCCACGUACUCAUUCAUCUUGUUGAUUUAAGAUGGAUGUAGAAGCUGGUCAUUGUUAAAGGAGCUGUUUGAACAAAUGCAAAUCUUCUUACUACCUUUGUGCAUAACAUUUCUUGCCCAGCAGGACCCAAAUUCACCAAACUGAUGUGUCUAAAUUUUCUAGAAGGAACUUUAUACCUAGAAUUCAUAGCUUAGGCAAGUCACAAAAAAUCUUUUGUGUACAACUAUUGAAAACGUUGUCAGUCCAUAGCAAUCAUUUUGACCUGUUUCCACUUAUAUUUUUGGCCUCUAAUAGACUCAAAAUUAUGAAGGGUUAUCUUCUUAAGGAGCCUUGAAAAUUGUGUUUUGAAAUUUGAUUACUAGAAACAACAUGUUUGGUUACUAGAAAUAUUUCUCCUUUACUUGCUUUUUACUCUUUAUUAUGAUUGGGUGAAAGAUGAUAUACUCUGCAUGCUGUAGUUCCGAAUUUACUUUUUUCUUUCUUAUAAAAAUUUUAAGUGACAAAGUUGCUAUGUUUUUCCUACUCAUUUUCACAAGAUGUGAGCAAUUCACAAAUAGAACAUAUUCUUGAAAGACUCAUGGCUUAAAUGAAAUUAAAUGACCAAAAGUGAAAUAUAAUUCCUUAAGUUAUUUUUUAAUUUUACAAAUGUCUGUGCAUCAAAACAUUUCUAUAAAAAUUAGAAUUAUAAGUAAAUUUCCAUUAUUCUGCCUUGCAUUAUUAUUUAAAUUCUCAUAUUUGUUGUUUCUAAAGAAUAUAUUUUACUUCAUAAACUUCUCUGACUAAUGCAUCUUCUCUUAAUAUUCAUGUUAACUGUUAACCUAUUUCCAUUUAUUGAACUUUUUGAAAAUUCUUAAUUGCUUAUGCAUAAAGUAAAUGCUUUUUACAAUCAUUAUUGCAUCAUUUUGCAGUAAUGAAAGUACAUACUUUAGAUAACUGAGAUAAUUUCAGUAUAUAAAGUGCAUCAGGAAAUUUCCUACCUCAAGUUACAGCUGCCUAUUUUAAAUUGAAUACUCAGAUGUUAACAAUAAGUCUUUAUGGCUUAUGUUGUUCAUGUUCUGAAUUACUGUUAACCUCGUUUGAUCUGAUGAUAACUUACUCAAUUACCUGAUCAUUGAUCAUACAUGGGUUCAGAGAUAACAGAAAUUGUGUUGAAAUAGGUAUUUGGCCUCUUGACUUUUCAAAGGCCAGGUCUAAAGCCAAACUCCAACAGUAGAAUUUGAAAAGUGGCAAAGCUGAAGAACAACUUCCAGUAUGUGGCUAAAGAGCCUUGGAGAACAGAAAACAGCAGCUCGGAGAUGGCAGUGAGCUGGGAGAGGCAGCUGCUGCAGCAGCACAGAGAGAUUUACUACCUCAGUGCCUUCAGAGGACAUCAAAGAGGAACGAGCAAGUAGCCCCAUGAGAUGCGUAACUUGGAGACCCCAACAGUGUUGCAGAAGGUGGUGAGAUGAGGGCUGACAACAUGAAGGGAGAACUAAGUGUAUAUAGGGUGAGCCAAUCCCCUGGCCUCCACUCACUCUGCUAUGGGACACAUAUUCCUCACCUUCCACAUCUUACUCUACCUGCCUUCUCAAGGAGACUGGAUGUUUGCUUUUUGUAGAAGUUGAGAAAGAAAGGCUAUAGAUGUGGGAAUUCCAGAUACAGAAGAGUAAAAGAGCAUGGAGCAAAACUUUUUUUAAAGGGGGGAAUUAAGUCAGUCCACCUAUUAAAGAGAAGGACCCUC